GACGAACGCUGGCGGCGUGCUUAACACAUGCAAGUCGAACGGACAGGCCCUGCUUUUGUGGGUUGCUCGAUUGGCGAACGGGUGAGUAACACGUGAGUAACCUGCCCUUGACUUUGGGAUAACUUCAGGAAACUGGGGCUAAUACCGGAUAGGAGCUCCUGCUGCAUGUUGGGGGUUGGAAAGUUUCGGCGGUUGGGGAUGGACUCGCGGCUUAUCAGCUUGUUGGUGGGGUAGUGGCUUACCAAGGCUUUGACGGGUAGCCGGCCUGAGAGGGGUACCGGCCACAUUGGGACUGAGAGACGGCCCAGACUCCUACGGGAGGCAGCAGUGGGGAAUAUUGCACAAUGGGCGGAAGCCUGAUGCAGCAACGCCGCGUGCGGGAUGACGGCCUUCGGGUUGUAAACCGCUGUCGCCUGUGACGAAGCGUGAGUGACGGUAAUGGGUAAAGAAGCAACGGCUAACUACGUG
rnacentral:rRNA from 1 species